CCUACGGGGGGCUGCAGUGAGGAAUAUUGGUCAAUGGGCGCAAGCCUGAACCAGCCAUGUCGCGUGAAGGAAGACGGCCCUACGGGUUGUAAACUUCUUUUGUAAGGGAAUAAAGUGUAGUACGUGUACUAUUUUGCAUGUACCUUACGAAUAAGGAUCGGCUAACUCCGUGCCAGCAGCCGCGGUAAUACGGAGGAUCCGAGCGUUAUCCGGAUUUAUUGGGUUUAAAGGGUGCGCAGGCGGGAGAUUAAGUCGGCGGUGAAAUUUUGCAGCUUAACUGUAAAAGUGCCUUCGAAACUGGUUUCCUUGAGUGUAGAUGAAGUAGGCGGAAUUUGUGGUGUAGCGGUGAAAUGCAUAGAUAUCACGAGGAACUCCGAUUGCGCAGGCAGCUUACUAAACUACUACUGACGCUCAGGCACGAAAGCGUGGGGAUCAAACAGGAUUAGAUACCCCGGUAGUC
rnacentral:rRNA from 1 species